GAUGAACGCUGGCGGCGUGCCUAAUACAUGCAAGUCGAGCGAACGGACGAGAAGCUUGCUUCUCUGAUGUUAGCGGCGGACGGGUGAGUAACACGUGGAUAACCUACCUAUAAGACUGGGAUAACUUCGGGAAACCGGAGCUAAUACCGGAUGAUAUUUUGAACCGCAUGGUUCAAAAGUGAAAGACGGUCUUGCUGUCACUUAUAGAUGGAUCCGCGCCGCAUUAGCUAGUUGGUAAGGUAACGGCUUACCAAGGCAACGAUGCAUAGCCGACCUGAGAGGGGGAUCGGCCACACUGGAACUGAGGCACGGUCCAGACUCCUACGGGAGGCAGCAGUAGGGAAUCUUCCGCAAUGGGCGAAAGCCUGACGGAGCAACGCCGCGUGAGUGAUGAAGGUCUUCGGAUCGUAAAACUCUGUUAUUAGGGAAGAACAUAUGUGUAAGUAACUGUGCACAUCUUGACGGUACCUAAUCAGAAAGCCACGGCUAACUACGUG
rnacentral:rRNA from 1 species